rnacentral:tRNA from 1 species
GGUGCGCAGAAGACGGCUACUUCCGCUUUCAACGGGGAGACGCGGGUUCGAAUCCCGUCAUCG